rnacentral:rRNA from 1 species
CGGGACGGGGUGGAGGUAACGCGUGGGUAACCUGCCUCAUACAGGGGAGUAACAGUUAGAAAUGGCUGCUAAUACCGCAUAAGCGCACAGGACCGCAUGGUCUGGUGUGAAAAACUCCGGUGGUAUGAGAUGGACCCGCGUCUGAUUAGCUAGUUGGAGGGGUAACGGCCCACCAAGGCGACGAUCAGUAGCCGGCCUGAGAGGGUGAACGGCCACAUUGGGACUGAGACACGGCCCAG